rnacentral:tRNA from 1 species
GUGUCGAGCAUGGCUGAAGCGCCAUACCGGUCUGAAAAGCCGGGGGUCGGCGGUUCGAUCCCGCCCCUGACCA